UACGUAGGGGGCUAGCGUUGUCCGGAUUUAUUGGGCGUAAAGAGCGUGUAGGCGGCCAGGUAGGUCCGGUGUGAAAACUCGAGGCUCAACCUCGAGAUGUCGGCGGAAACCACUUGGCUAGAGUCCGGAAGAGGAGAGUGGAAUUCCUGGUGUAGCGGUGAAAUGCGCAGAUAUCAGGAAGAACACCCGUGGCGAAAGCGGCUCUCUGGAACGGUACUGACGCUGAGACGCGAAAGCGUGGGGAGCGAACAGG
rnacentral:rRNA from 1 species